rnacentral:rRNA from 1 species
GACGAACGCUGGCGGCGUGCUUAACACAUGCAAGUCGAACGGAAAGGCCCUGCUUGUGUGUGGUUCUCGAGUGGCGAACGGGUGAGUAACACGUGAGUAACCUGCCCUUGACUGUGUGAUAACUUCAGGAAACUGGUGCUAAUACCGGAUAGGAGCUCCUGCUGCAGGGUGGGGGUUGGAAAGUUUCGGCGGUUGGGGAUGUACUCAGGGCUUAUCAGCUUGUUGGUGGGGUAGUGGCCUACCAAGGCGUUGACGGGUAGCCGGACGGAGAGGUGGGUCAGUCACACGGGAACGGAGACGCGCUCAAGAGUCCUACGGGAGGGAGCAGUCGGGAAUAGUAGGCAAUGGUCGAGAGCCUGGUCCAACCGGGCCGCGUGUGAGAAGAAGGUCCUCGGAGUGUAAAGCACGUUAAGUGGUGAGGAAGGGCAGUAAGUUAAUACCUUGCGGGUUUGACGCUACCAACAGAAGAAGCACCGGCUAACUUCGUG